rnacentral:rRNA from 1 species
ACACUCCUACGGGAGGCAGCAGUGAGGAAUAUUGGACAAUGGGUGGAAGCCUGAUCCAGCCAUCCCGCGUGCAGGAAGACGGCCCUAUGGGUUGUAAACUGCUUUUAUCUGGGGAUAAACCUACUUACGUGUAAGUAGCUGAAGGUACCAGAAGAAUAAGCACCGGCUAACUCCGUGCCAGCAGCCGCGGUAAUACGGAGGGUGCAAGCGUUAUCCGGAUUUAUUGGGCUUAAAGGGUCCGUAGGCGGACUGAUAAGUCAGUGGUGAAAUCCGACAGCUUAACUGUCGAACUGCCAUUGAUACUGUUAGUCUUGAGUAAGGUUGAAGUGGCUGGAAUAAGUAGUGUAGCGGUGAAAUGCAUAGAUAUUACUUAGAACACCAAUUGCGAAGGCAGGUCACUAAGUCUUAACUGACGCUGAUGGACGAAAGCGUGGGGAGCGAACAGGAUUAGAAACCCCUGUAGUCCCAUGA